rnacentral:tRNA from 1 species
GGAGAGAUGGCCGAGUGGUUUAAGGCAGCGGUCUUGAAAACCGCCGUGGGUGAAAGCCCACCGUGGGUUCGAAUCCCACUCUCUCCGCCA